rnacentral:piRNA from 1 species
UCACUCGCAGCUGAAAGAUGU